AUUGAACGCUGGCGGCAGGCCUAACACAUGCAAGUCGAACGAGUGGCGGACGGGUGAGUAAUGUCUGGGAAACUGCCCGAUGUAGGGGGAUAACUACUGGAAACGGUAGCUAAUACCGCAUACCCUCGGAUGUGCCCCGAUGGGAUUAGCUUGUAGGUGGGGUAACGGCUCACCUCGGCGACGAUCCCUAGCUGGUCUGAGAGGAUGACCAGACACACUGGAACGGAGACACGGUCCAGACUCCUACGGAAGGCAGCAGUGGGGAAUAGUACACAAUGGGCGAAAGCCUGAUGCAGCCAUGCCGCGUGUAUGAAGAAGGCCUUCGGGUUGUAAAGGACUUUCAGCGGGGAGGCGUUACCCGCAGAAGAAGCACCGGCUAACUCCGUGCCAGCAGCCGCGGUAAUAC
rnacentral:rRNA from 1 species